ACGUUAGCGGCGGACGGGUGAGUAACACGUGGGUGACCUACCUAUAAGACUGGGAUAACUCCGGGAAACCGGGGCUAAUACCGGAUAACACAUGAAACCGCAUGGUUUCAUGAUGAAAGACGGUUUUGCUGUCACUUAUAGAUGGACCCGCGGCGUAUUAGCUAGUUGGUAAGGUAACGGCUUACCAAGGCAACGAUACGUAGCCGACCUGAGAGGGUGAUCGGCCACACUGGAACUGAGACACGGUCCAGACUCCUACGGGAGGCAGCAGUU
rnacentral:rRNA from 1 species